UAUUGGGCGUAAGAGCUCGUAGGCGGUCUGUCGCGUCGGUCGUGAAAACUUGGGGCUUAACCCUGAGCUUGCGGUCGAUACGGGCAUGACUUGAGUUCGGCAGGGGAGACUGGAAUUCCUGGUGUAGCGGUGAAAUGCGCAGAUAUCAGGAGGAACACCGGUGGCGAAGGCGGGUCUCUGGGCCGAUACUGACGCUGAGGAGCGAAAGCGUGGGGAGCGAACAGGAUUAGAUACCCUGGUAGUCCACGCCGUAAACGGUGGGCGCUAGGUGUGGGGGCCAUUCCACGGUCUCUGUGCCGCAGCUAACGCAUUAAGCGCCCCGCCUGGGGAGUACGGCCGCAAGGCUAAAACUCAAAGGAAUUGGCGGGGGG
rnacentral:rRNA from 1 species